rnacentral:sRNA from 1 species
UAACACAAAAAUAAAACCUUUACUCGCACUCGUAGUAAGCAAAUAAACUUCACUGUCUGCUUCUGCUGCUGCUGCUGCGGCUGCAGCGAGACUGCAGCGGCCGUUGAAAGAUUUAUGACAUCAAGCAAGAGAGCGACAACAGAGGCGGCCGGUAGAGCACCAAUACGGCACGGCGUAUAAUCGAAACGAAAGUAAUAAAUGCAAAAAAUCAAAAACAACAAAACGAACGAACCGCCAUGGUGUAUGCGAAUUUUUCAUGACGAUAUUUAACAGACACCGCAAACAGCAACAACAACAACAAUAAGCAGCAAACAAAAAAAAGUUUAUCACCAAGCACUUUUCCAGAUUUAUCGAUGCAAAUAUAAAGAAAUGAGCAAUGGCAAAGAUACAAAGAUGCAACACUGUAAGUUUUCUCAAUUAAAUGCAACACUGUUCAAUGGUUAAUAUCCAAUUGUUGUUUUAGUGGAGUUCUUAUGAUCCAGUUUAGAAUUUUCUUAAAAUUAUGCAUUUUUUGGUUACACUCACAAUAUUUAUUCAUUAAACAAGUGUAAGAUUUUUCUAAAGCUUUUGUUGUUGCUUGGCGGCGAUUACUGAAUGGCAAUGACACGGACUGGGCAUGGACAGUGUAUGGUGUUCACUGUUAAACAACGAUAGAGGAAGUGACAUACACAAUCAAAAAGUGCAUUGUGCACUGCUACCUACAACGACUACAGCAACGACAACAACAGCUAAAACCAUCGACCACGAUAUCAUUGGAGAAGAGCGAACAAACGAGGCAACGACAAACCAACCAACGAAUGGCAAAACGUUGGCGUCAACGUUGGAGGCAACCCAGAGACAGUCAUAAAUGAAUACAAAAAAGUACACACGAGAAAUAUAGCAGACAAAAGCAGGUGCUGUUGAGGGCAGGCCUGAAACAAACAAAAGGCCUGGUAACUCUGGCAGUUGACAAAUAUAUCGAUCAGGACAAUAUUAAACCAUAAUGAAAGAUCAACAGUUAUAUGGCAUCUUUCUAAUAAGACGAGACAAGGCUUGACAAUGACUUCAUGCAUCACCCCACACAUCAAAUAUGUCUAUACAGUGCACACUACAACUGCAAACUAUUAACUCAUGUAUAUGCACUCACACACUUUGAAUUACGAGAGGCUAAGCCGAAACCGAAAACCGAAUACAAAACGUCUAAGGCGCGAGCUGUGAACAAAUGCUGAAGCUUUCUCUUUGGAUUUGGAUUAUUGUUACACACACACACACACUUCCUUUGAAUGGGUUAUAAUAAACAGACGAAAAGGUGCAAGAGCACCACUGGCAGCGUAGGGCAAACACUUCGACCGAGAAACAACGAAAGAACGAACAAAUGAACCGACCGACCAACCGACUCUGUUGGAGCAAAAAACAGAUUUGCAAAACGAAAGAAGCACGAAGAACCAUCAUCAAUGUUUUUUUUUUAUUUUUGAUUUUUGCUCGAACAACGACCUUAAACGUACGCGGCAGUUGUGAUGAAUGCGACGCAUAUCUCAAUUGCAAAAAACCAAUUUCUCUGUAGGGCUGACGAGCAACAAAUAUAUACAUACAAACACA